GGCUUGAUGAUUUAUAAUUUUAAGUCGAUCUGCCCAAUGAUAAAGUAUUUAAUGGCUGCAGUAUAUCUGACUGUACAAAGGUAGCAUAAUCGAUUGUUUUUUAAUUGAAAACUGGUAUGAAAGAAUUAAUGAGAUAUAUUCUGUCUCAUAUAUAUUUUAUAAAAUUAAAUUUUUAGUAAAAAUGCUUAAAUAUUUUUAUGGGACGAUAAGACCCUAUAGAAUUUUAUAUUAAUUUUUAGAUYGUAUAAAUGGUUAUUGUAUUAAUUAAUAUUUAGUUGGGAGGAUUGGUAAAUUUAAUGAACUUUAUUUUGUAUUUUAACUUUAAUUUGAGGAUUAUUAAUGUUCUUGUAUUAUAAAUUAUAAGAUUAAAUUACCUUAGGGAUAACAGCGUAAUAUCUUUGGAGAGUUCAUAUUAAUAAAGAUGAUUGCGACCUCGAUGUUGAAUUAAGAUAAAUUUUAAAUGCAGAAGUUUAAUAAUUAAGUCUGUUCGACUUUUAAAAUCUU
rnacentral:rRNA from 1 species